ensembl:lncRNA novel transcript
GAAAUUCAAUAGGGCCUGAAAAGGGGGUCAACCAAGUACUGCGACUUUCACAAUAAAAUGAAUCAAAGCUCUCAUGAGUUCAUAACCUGAGCCAAAGAAAAAGAUGGAGUCUCGCUCUGUCGCCCAAGCUGGAGUGCAGUGGCGCGAUCUCGGCUCACUGCAAGCUCCGCCUCCCGGGUUCACGCCAUUCUCCUGCCUCAGCCUCCCGAGUAGCUGGGACUACAGAGGCCCACCACCACGCCCGGCUAAUUUUUUUGGAUUUUUAGUAGAGACGGUGUUUCACUGUGUUAGCCAGGAUGGUCUCGAUCUCCUGACCUCGAGAUCUACCCGCCUCGGCCUUCCAAAGUGCUGGGAUUACAGGCGUGAGCCACCGCGCCCAGCCUUUAAAGUUAUUUUCAAUAACACCUAGCAAUUAGGAAGCUUAAAAUUACAUGUUUUUAAGACUUGGAAUCAAAUAACUUCACUCUCUAAAGACUUAAGGCAAUGAAAAUUUUUUCGUUUUAAGUUUCACUUUCGUUCUUAAUUAUGACACUCUAGGAAUUUCUGUAUUUGUCUUUUAAGGUAAUUCUACUCUUGGGUAUUAUAAAAUGUUUGUCUUGUCUUUAUGUUUGUUUCUCUUGGUUCUAUAAAUUGCAUCCUCGAGUCCAGAAAA